rnacentral:lncRNA from 1 species
UUCUUCUCAAUUUGAAUAUUAGAAUUUUAUGGCAAUGAUUUUGAGUUCUGCUCUUUAAACCUAAUGUUGUGUCAGGAGUGUUUUCUCACAUACUUAAAUAUUCACCUAAAUCCUGUUUUAGGGGCUGGAUGUGCAGCAGUUGAACCAGCCAGUUCAACUGGGUUCAGAUUGUACACAAAUUUCAUAAGCAAUGUGGUCUGUAAGGUUUUGCUCUCUCCUGAUUAUUUCUUUUGGAGAUAAUCUUGGAGUAAGCGGAGUUAUUGAGUUUGAGGGUAGGCAGACGGCCUGUGAAUUGGUCCCUGAAAAUCCCCACCUGCAGGUGUUCCUGUCUGUGCAAUCCCUCCCCCUUGGGUGUGUGCUCAGGUGACGCUUUGGGCAUUGCUCUGAGAAUUAAUUAGGGAGCAAACAACUCUGACUUGCAUCUUGCUAUGCUCUCUUCUGGUUUGCUUUGAGGGGAGUCGACAUUCCUGUUGUGGGCUGCCCUAUGCGGAGGCCACAUGGCCAGGAACUGAGGGUGCCCUCAGCCAGCAGCUACAAGGACCUGGGGCUUUUGGUCUUUGUGGUGGGUAAGUGAGUUUGGAAGAGGACUUCCACGGUCGGGCCUCCAGCUGAGACACAGCCUGAGAAAGCCGUACAGGCUGAGUUUGUCUUCCCCUGCCCCGCAGAUUCAAUUUCAGCGGUGCCAACAGGUCAGUUUCAGCAGGGGACACUGCUGACCGCCAGGGCCCCAGAACACACCCUCGUUCUGAACAGCUCUGCCUUGGAGAGUCCAGCCAGGGCGCGUGGACGGUUCCCUGACAAUCCUAGUCCAGGGAAGCAUCCCAGGGU